GCACUGCUGAGGAGUUCCACAAUAGGACGAAACUGCUGUCCAGUGC
rnacentral:hammerhead_ribozyme from 1 species